rnacentral:rRNA from 1 species
CAGCCGCCGCGGUAAUACGGAGGGGGCUAGCGUUGUUCGGAAUUACUGGGCGUAAAGCGCACGUAGGCGGCUUUGUAAGUUAGAGGUGAAAGCCUGGGGCUCAACUCCAGAAUUGCCUUUAAGACUGCAUCGCUUGAACGUCGGAGGGGUGAGUGGAAUUCCGAGUGUAGAGGUGAAAUUCGUAGAUAUUCGGAAGAACACCAGUGGCGAAGGCGGCUCACUGGACGACUGUUGACGCUGAGGUGCGAAAGCGUGGGGAGCAAACAGGAUUAGAUACCCCCGUAGUCCCUGUCUCUUAUAC